rnacentral:rRNA from 1 species
AUUGAACGCUGGCGGCAUGCUUUACACAUGCAAGUCGAACGGUAACAGGUUAAGCUGACGAGUGGCGAACGGGUGAGUAAUGCAUCGGAACGUGCCCGGUCGUGGGGGAUAACGCAGCGAAAGCUGCGCUAAUACCGCAUACGAUCUGAGGUUGAAAGCGGGGGACCGUAAGGCCUCGCGCGAUCGAAACGGCCGAUGUCCGAUUAGGUAGUUGGUGGGGUAAAGGCUCACCAAGCCAACGAUCUGUAGCUGGUCUGAGAGGCCGACCAGCCACACUGGGACUGAGACACGGCCCAGACUCCUACGGGAGGCAGCAGUGGGGAAUUUUGCACAAUGGGCGAAAGCCUGAUCCAGCAAUGCCGCGUGCAGGAAGAAGGCCUUCGGGUUGUAAACUGCUUUUGUACGGAGCGAAAAGGUCUCCUCUAAUACAGGGGGCUCAUGACGGUACCGUAAGAAUAAGCACCGGCUAACUACGUGCCAGCCGCCGCCGUAA